ensembl:lncRNA
GAAGCUCACUACUAUGUUUUACUUUUCCUAAAACUGUUUUAUAGAGUGUUGCUGUGCGCUGCUUUGUAAUGCAUCUGUGGGGGAGGUAUGACUGGCUUCGAUUGGCUCAUUCUGAACAAAAGCAGAUGAGGAACUACUGCGAUGCUGCUGAGGCUGGAGUUAUCUAGUUUAGACCGGCAGAUGGGUGCUGCCUUCAACACUGUUGAGGGUGUGAAGCUGAACCCUCCUCCUCCCCCCAUCCCGCCUGGCUCUGUGCACGUAACACCUGCCCGCUGCUUCACAGCAGAACAAUAUGUUCUCUCGAUUACUCCUGCUGCAAAAGAGGAACAACCGCUUUCACUUUCUGUUGCUGCUGGUAUGUUUUUAAGUAUGAGUGCUGAGAUCAGCAGUGCAGGUAUACUUCAGGGCAUCUGGUUCAUGAGAAGGUAUACAAGAGAAAAAAUAUUUGACUUCUUUCACUUUUUCUUGUGGGAACAAGGAAAGGAUACUAAGGAUACUGAAGAUAUUACUUGUAUUACUUGUGGGAACAAGUAAAGGAUACUGAAGAUAUUACUGAACCUGGUAUUAUGAGCAAUCACAAUGACCUAUAUAUACUAAAAAAAAAAAAGUUGGUUUUGCUUACAUGUCUGUGUAAAGUGUGGGCAUGUGGUUGCAUCUGCAAAAUUGCUUAAAUUGCUUACGGCAGCUUUAACACCUGCUGCAUUUCAAUCAUGCAGAGCUGUUUUCGAGAAAACAUAAACAUCUUCAGGAGGUUGUGGCAUCAGAGUGCAGGUAAAAUGUGCAGUUAAAGGACAACAACAGGAUUGAGAACACACAGAGGUACAUAAAAUCAGAGAUAGCCAAAGAAGAUUAUCACCCGCUCUGACAUCCAAUCCACAACCACCAGCUGCCCUCACGGCCUCAUGAUUCAGUGCAUAACACUGUUGACUGAACCAAGUCAGGCAUUUAAGAAAUCUGCAGGUAGCAGCCCUCAGUCAUCAGUAAAAUAAGUGUGUGAUGUGUCUUUAAUGGGAGCUUUUACCACAUGCUCAGACAAAACCACAAUAAAGGCAACACAGUGCAUUAGUAAAUGGAGUCU